rnacentral:tRNA from 1 species
GACGCUCCUCGGUCGCGGCGAGCGCGGCGUCGUAGGCGACGCCGCCGAGCAGGAGACGGCGCGGCGGGUCGUCGGAGUCGACGAGCGUCA